GAUCGUGGCUUCUUAAAUACCCAAGGGAUAACGUCACCUGUCAAGAAGAUGCAUAUAUUCCUCUGGCAAAUAGGCGCCGUCAUCCCUAUUCAAAGCAUGAUGACUGUAUGAGUAAUCAUGCUUUGAAUAGGGAUGACGGCGCCUAUUUGCCAGAGGAAUAUAUGCAUCUUCUUGGCAGGUGACGUCAUCCCUUGGGUAUUUAAGAAGCCACGAUC